rnacentral:tRNA from 1 species
UAAAAAGUUAGUUAAAACAUAAUACAAGGUUGUCAGCCUUACGUCACUAAUUAGAUAUUAGUACUUUUUAG